GUCGGAGAGUUUGAUCCCGGCUCAGGAUAAACGCUGGCGGCGUGCCUUAUGCAUGCAAGUCGUACGGUCCUUCUCUUCGGAGAAGGAUAGUGGCGGACGGCUGAGUAACGCGUAGGUAACCUGCCCCCAAGUGGGGGAUAACUCCGGGAAACUGGAGCUAAUACCGCAUGUGGUGGUGGGACAGAAGUUCCAUCACUAAAGCCGCAAGGCGCUUGGGGAGGGGCCUGCGUCCUAUCAGGUAGUUGGUGGGGUAACGGCUCACCAAGCCGAUGACGGGUAGCUGGUCUGAGAGGAUGGCCAGCCAGACGGGGACUGA
rnacentral:rRNA from 1 species